CUAAAUAGAGAGACUUGCACAAGGUUUUCAGGCCACCACAUGUAAGGUGAAUCAACAAGGAACCUUCUGAAAAUACCAGCCCAUCCAUACCCUAGCAUUUGAGUCGAUAGCGCUAACAAAUAAGCCGCUACUGGAUGUAUAUCUUUGUGAUAAAAAGCCUUAACAAUUGUGACUAUCCCAAUUGCAUAUACACUGUUAGAUCCUGAGCUAGCAAAGAUGGUGAUCAACACAUGUUCUUUCAAAGAGAAUGGCCCCGGAUUCAAAGAAAAAUAACAGGUUGUGAAAGGGAUUUGAAUUGGUUUUGUGGGAAGUGUUGCAGCCAUAAGCCUUCCAAGUGGGAGUGUGAUGAUCUGAGCUGAAACAGAAGUGAUUCUCAAAGGGUUGGUUCUGUAGCCUAAGAACUGGUUCACAAAUGCAAGGAGCACACAUGAAGCUAAGCCUAGAAUCCAUGUCCUGAAUGUUAGUGCUGGCUGAGAAGGGUCAUCAGUGAUUGGAACUGUUAACCUCACUUGCUCAAUGGGACUAUCAUUAAUGUUGUAUUCAUCUUUCUCUGCAUCCUCUAAGACCCUACUUUGAGACACUCCACUACUUGAUAUCUCAGCUUCCUAAUCCAUAAAACAAAUCAUUCAUCAUAUUACAUAUAGAACUUAAUUCAGUACUUAUGCUAUAUAUUUAAGUUAAUUAUAAACAUUGUACAUUUUGAUAUUUUAAGUUACAAAGGUUAAACACUUUGGUUAUUUCUGCGGUGUAGGAAGACAUUUGAAAGUUAUUGAAAAAAAUAUAGUUUCAUACAAAACAAAAUUAGUAAAUAGUCAAAAUAUAUUACUAGUUACAAACAACAUUGAUUGUAAAAGGACAUCCACAAUAAAUAAAAUGGGAGUCCAAUAAAAAAAAAAAGUCGAAGGUAGGUCUAACCAUUACAUGGAUUGGUGUUUUUUCUUGAGCUGUCAAAAUGGAUUAGGUCUGACCGACCAUUAAAUGUCAAAUUCAUGUUUAUUUUCAUAGCACUUAUUAACUUGUUUCGCAAGUAAUCUAAGUAGAAUAGAAACCCCUUAAAAUAUCAAAGAACAGAGAAACUGAAAAACAAGCCACUUCGUUAGGCUAGCCAAGGCAAGGUGAAAGUGAGUCAAGUUUUUAGAUAUUAUUUUGAAAUUCAUCUCAUUAUACUAUAUAUUUUAAUAUUGAAAUCCAAAGAAUACGUUUUUAUUUGUAUAUUAUUAAUAAAACAAUGAAAUUGUGGUAUGUACUUUAAUGUGCAAAGUAAAACACAAGUAAAACAAUUCAUUGUGGGCAUAGUUAUACAAUUGUGUAAAACACAUGAUAUUCAUGUAGAAUAAAAAAUCAAUUGUUAAGAUACCAAUUAAGGUGAAUCAAAGGAAAGCAAUUCUUACCAACAAUACCAUACUUGCAGCAAUGCUAUUCCUGUAAAAAAUAUGAAAAACACAUGAAGAAACAAAAACAAAAACCAUGUAAUUACUAUGACUAAAGCAAGAGGAAAUACCAAACUAACGACAUCCAAAAAAUAACCUGUAUUGUUAGAUUCUAGGAUCAAUCAAAUCUUUACGUUGCCACAGUUGCUACCAUUUGAAGCUCAUAACUCAACUGCAAAGGAUCAGCAUGUCUAAGUAAAAAAAAAAAAAACAUGAGAAAUUAUUCUCACAAUCAAUGGCAUAUGUUCUAUUAUAAAAGAAAAAAAGAAGCAUAUGUUCUCCUAGGAGAUAAAUGUUGACCAACACCGAAUCCAAAAAAAAAAAAGGAGAUUACUACAAUGAAUAUAUAUGCCAUAAAUAUCAAGGUAAAGAUAAAAGUAUUUAUUUUAUACAACACAUAAAAAAGUCUUAAAAAAAUAAAGAGAAAAUGAUCAAGAAAUUCAACAUGUAGGAGGGUCAUUCUACAAUUGUUUGAGCUUAUCCAAGAUGCCAAAACUGAAUUUGAGAAACACAAAUGAUAUAAGGAUCGGAGAAAAUUAGCUAUGGAGUUUUUACUUAUAGAAGCACAUUGUGAGACAUGAGAGAUUAAAAAAAGUGAAAAAUAAUAUGUACUCUACAUUGAAGAUCAACAAGACAAUCUAUGCAGCAUUUUCAUUUGAUGUCUCUAAUAAGUUAUUUUUUCGAUAAAUUAUCAGUUAAUAUAACCCUUCAAAUACGAACAAAGGUGUAUUUUUUCUUAAAGUGCAUUACAAAUUUACAAUGAAAGUUACAAUUUAUAAUGAAAGCUUUUUAAAAGUGGCGCAGUAAAUUAGUUAGUUGUCCCUUAGACAACCUGAAGUUUGAAAUCCUAUGAAGAAACAAAGAGAUGAUGCAUUGGAAUUUUGAUUGUUGGCUAUUGCAUAUCAAAGAUACUGAUAUUGAAUUGAAUAGUAAUAUUUUGCAUGGGAAAAACAGCAAUUGAAAUAUGUUAAAACUGCUAAUUACAUGUAAAUAUUUUGGGAGGCCGUAAGAUUUGUAAAAUUUAAAAAUUAUCGUAUUAAUAAAUGAAUAGUAGUAGUUAAUAGAUGCUCCCAAAAAAAAAUAAUGCUAUUUUAAGAAGUCAAGUUUUGAAGAAGUUUUCCAUUAGAUGAGAAAUGACAAACUUGUCAUAAAUGAAACUAUAUUGUAUUUGUAAAAAAAAAAAUUGGUCUUGUAUUUGAUAAAUUGUUAAACCUAAAAGAUAAAAGGUUUAAUUGCACUUUUUCCCCUAUAGUUUGUCAAUUGUGCGAUUUUGCACCCCAUAGUUUUAAACGAUCAAUUUUUCCCCUUAUAGUUUUUCCCCUUUCUGAUUUUAUAGUCCCCAUGACAUUUGGUGAUGAUGUGUCUAUUUUUUAUCAAUUAAUGUGUGCCACGUGUGUAAUUCCAUUUUUUUUAAAAUAAAAAAAAUGGUAUUUUUCAGAUUUUGAGAGAAGGAGGCACGUGGCACACGAAACUCAAAGCUACAAAAAAAUCUGAAAAAUACCAUUUUUUUAUUUUUUUUAAAAAUGGAAUUACACACGUGGCACAUAUUAAUUGAUAAAAAACAGACUAAAUGUCAUGGAGACCAUAAAAUCAGAAAGGGGGAAAACUAUAGGGGGCAAAAUCGCUCGUUUAAAACUAUGGGAUGCAAAAUCGCAUAAUUGGCAAACUAUAUGAGGGAAAAAUGCAAUUAAGCCAAGAUAAAAAAUAAAAUAAAACACUAUGGAGUAUGGACCUUACAUAUCAACAUCACAAAUUCCAUCAUGAGGAUUCGACAGUAUAGAGAAACUAAGUUGAUUUCAUUUUCAUUUGAUACCUCCAAUAAGUAAUUUUUCAACAAAUUAUUGGCUGAUUCUUUCAGAAAAUAAAUUAUUGGUUAAUAAUACCCUUCGAAUACCAACAAAGGGUGUAUUUUAUUUAUUUUUGUACCAAAAAACAGUGUGUAUUUUUUUUCUUCUUAACGUGCGUUAAAAUUUCCAAUGAAGUUUCUUCUUUAGCUUAUCGGCCUGUUUAGCCUUUUUUUUUUUUUUUUUUUUUUUUUAAAGUAGUCUAGUGGCUAAAUAAAUUCACCUUAAAAAUGAAUAGGUGGGAUGUCCGGGGUUCGAACUCCGACCCCUAUACAUAUUGUGCAUUAUCCCUUACCAAAUGAGUUAAGCUCAUGGGGACGACGUGUUUAGCUUUUACUAAGGGGUAAAAAGAAUAAAAGAUGUCGUUUAGUUUUUGACAAGGACAUUAUAUAAUAUAAGUAAGGGUGGGUUUUGUUGGGUAUCAGAGUAACAAAGUAAAAUUACGCAACUAAAAUAAGAGAUGAGAAUAGAGGAAUUGAACACACAAUAUUUACGUGGAAACCCCUCCACGAAUAAGGAAAAAAAACUUGUGGCAAGAAUACAUAUAUAGACUUUUUACUAAGUGGAAGAAAAUUACACAACCUCUCUUUAAAUACAAUGAGAGAACAAUUACACUUUCUCUUGAGUCAACAAAUUGCAAUGGGACUAAACAACUAUGAAGCAUCAAUAUUUGAUCAGACACAAAAUUUCUUUACACAUGCUUAAAUCAAUUAUCACAUGCACCGUCCACAAGUGUUCAACCUCAGAUAUCUCACUUAUUUAACUUAAAAGGUAAAAAAAAAAAAUGUGAAUUUCUAUCCACUCGAAAAUAUGACUUGUAAAGUUGAUAUAUGAUUUUUUUACGCCUUUUGAUCUCAUUAGUUUGGACACAAUUUGGUUUUCUUUUGUCAUAUUGUGGUCAAAUAGCAAUUAAAUUGAGUAUUCUUUUCAUGAUGUAUGCUCGCAAGCAUGUGACCUUAUGGUAGGUGCAAGCAUGAAUAUCUUUUUGUCUAUACAGAUUUGUUAAGCAUUUUAAUCUCACUGGACAUUUUUGUUGACAAAUAAUCCCAUUGGACAUGUUUUUGGUUUUUAUUUGUCAUAAAGUGAAUCAAAAGUGCAUGUAAACCUAAAAUAAAUCAAACCGUUAUACUUCAAAUUUCUCAGCUUUUUUAAUAGGAUAUAGGAUGUUAUGGUUAUGGACACCAGUAGAUUUUGCUCUACUAUGAUUUUACUUACAUUCAUAAAAUGAUAAAGCUCAUUUUUUGGGGGAGUGAUGGGCUAGAUAAACUUCCAAAGAGAUGAACUACGAAAUCAAUGUUCAGCAUGGUUGCUUGUCCUUCAAUCAAUUUCUUUAGUGCUAUAGCAUAUCAUCAUUCAUUCCAUGCAACAAUAUCAGAAAUGAAAGCCCCCAAAUUUCCAACCACUAAGCAUAUCUCUUGUAUUCCUGAACUUCAUCCUUGGCCAUGUUUUGGACCUCAGACUUUUCUGAACCUUUAUGCCAUAUCUGAAAACAAAAGUUCAGGCUUCUCAAGAUAAGUAUUUAUGUGCCUCAUUUCAAUCAGAAAUUUAACCACAAGCUAUGUCUCUUUUCAGAAUAAACAAUACUCUAUGAGUUUAAGUUAUAUCUAAUUAGAGUUAAGUAUGUUUAUAGUUUUUAUAAAUUACACUUUUUAGUUUGGUCCAUAUAAAAAAUUCAUAAAAGCAUGUUGCUUUUAUAGGGAGUAAAAAAUAAUUUAACAUUUUAUUUAUGACAAGAAUAGAAAAGGAAAUGGUAUACUGUAGCUUCUUUUCCUUAAAACUAUUACAAAUAUAAUAGUGAAGAAUCAAAGAUAAUUUAAAUACAAAAACAAAAAUAAAACAGGUUCUUAGUUUUGUACAUUUACAUGUCCUAUAGUAUAUUCACUUGCCAAUGUUGUUGAUGGAAUGGUAACAUUGUAGUCAGGGAACAGGACAACCCUCUGCAUGUACACCUGGAGCUGUAGGGCAUUUAGCCAAAGGGCAGUGGUCUGGUUCAAGACCCCACCAAGUUGGACCAUAAAUACCGUAAGAUUGAAGAGAAAAAUAAAGUAGUAAACCUAUAAAGGCAACUCCAGCAUCUAAACCAGCUGAAAGGAUGUAAGUAUGUCUAGCCCACCAUGCUUUGAACUUUCUAUAAACAUAGAAAUUGAAAAAUAUUCCAACAAUCCCCCAAGUAAUAUAAUUCACAGAUCUCACAGGUGGGAUGUCAGAUGCACCUGCAAUGAUAAUAGGAAUGUUGAUGAAUUGAAUCCACUUUUGGUUGGGAAAUUUGAGAGAAAGAAGCCACACGGGAACUGGUGCGAUUAGACCGAUAAGGAAAAACCAAUUCAAUUCGGGAUAAACACCGUCUUUGGUAAACAUUCUCUUUGGCCCUACAACUCCCCAGAUGAUUGAAGCAUUGUAAAAUACAUCAUCACCAGGACAUGUCCAAGGACUACCUUUUGGCAAUAAUGAUUCAUCACAUAUGUUCUCAAUAGAUGUUAGAAGCCACCAUGCGGUUCCAAAGUGAACAGAUGAAGCAACUACUGUGCCUACAAGUUGCACAAUGAACAUUGAUUUUGGUGCAAUUUUCAUAUAGUGGCCUAAUUUGAAGUCACCAAGAAAACCAAGUGCUUGUACCAUACUGAUAUGGCCAUAUGUUUUGAAAGCUACAUUAGCAAGCGGCUUUCCUGGAUAGAUGAAACCAAUUACUAACUCUGUGAUUACAUUGAGACCUGAUCUUAUGUUUGUUGUUGCUUCAAUGACACCAAUUGGUAAGGUGAAAAUUAAUGCAAUUGUUAGAGAAAGUAAGAUUCCCCACCAUGGAAGUUGGAGCUGCUUGCCGAAGCCUUCGCAGGCUAGUAAGGCCAUCAUAACCAUUAAAAUUAAAAUGGUGACAAACCACCAUUCAGGGACUUGUUCAUAGUUUUUCUUCAUAAUUCUUGUAUGGACAUCUCCAAGUUGGUUUUUUAAUGAAGUUGUUGUCUUCUUCCACAUCUGAACAAUCAUUUCUCCGUGGAAGAGGACAACAUGCGAAAUUGUGGCUGUAAGAGCUGCAAAGCAAAAUCCAUACUCGAACGCAAAGGCGACACUUAGAUAGAUCUUGCUGUAAUUGCUGUAACUUUCCAUAUCAAUGUCAAAUGUUUCAGUGUUGAGAAUCCGAGUAACAUUGUAUGUUGCACCGGUAGAGUCAAAUGUAUGAGAACUAAUGAGCGGAAACUUUUUUGCAUCAUACAAAUUGUUCCAAUAAGAAAUUGGAAUCAAAACAUACAUAUACAAGAAAAAUCCAGCCAUUAUGUUGAUGAUGGCAAAGCCAGGAACAGCCAAAGGACUACCUAAGAAGCCAGCAACAGUGUUCCAAUCAAGGCCGAAUGAACCAAUACCAAGUCCUUUCAUGCCUGAACCAAUCUGUUGCGCAGUGAUGGAUUCUUUCCAAAUCAAACAUACAAAAGAGACGGUUGAUAUUGCUUGGAAAAAGUAUCCUGGAAUGAUGUAAUACGCAAAGCUAGCUACAAAGACUACGAAAAAGAAUUGCAGCCUGGAUGUUCCUCCUCGAGGCCUUUUUUCUUUUUCAUGAAAUGCUCUAAAUAGAGAAACCUGCACAAGGCUUUCAGGCCACCACAUGUAAGGUGAAUCAACAAGGAACCUUCUGAAAAUCCCAGCCCAUCCAUACCCUAGCAUCUGAGUCGAUAGCGCCAACAAAUAAGCCGCGACGGGAUGGAUGCUUCUGUGAUAGAAAGCUUUAACAAUUGUGAUUAUGUUGAUUGCAUAAACACCACUAGAUCCCGAGCUAGCAAAGAUGGUAAUCAACACAUGUUCUUUCAAAGAGAAUGGCCCCGGGUUCAACGAAAAAGACCAUGUUGUAAAAGGUACUUGAAUUGGUUUUGUGGGAAGUGUUGCAGCCAUAAGUUUCCCAAGUGGCAGGGCAAUAAUCUGAGCCGAGACAGAAGUGAUUUUCAAAGGGUUGGUUCUGUAGCCUAAAAACUGGUUCACAAAUGCAAGGAGAAUACAUGAUGCUAACCCUAGAACCCAUGUCCGGAAUGUUAGCGCUGGCUGAGAAGGGUCAUCGGUGAUCGGAACUGUUAGCCUCACUUGCUCAAUAGGACUAUCAUUAAUGCUAUAUUCAUCAAUCUCUGCAUCCUCUAUGACCGUAUUUUGAGACACUCUACUACUUGACAUCUCAUGUUCCUAAUCCAUAAAACAAAGAAAAGGAAUAACAAUUGAAAGGAACAAAACAACAAUCAUUCAUUAGGUCACGUAUGG
rnacentral:lncRNA from 1 species